rnacentral:rRNA from 1 species
GGCGCAGCCUGAUCGCAUGCCGCGUGUGUGAAGAAGGCCUGCGGGUUGUAAAGCACUUUUAUCGGGGAGGAGAAGCGGAGCACGAACAAUGCUCGGUGGAGACGUUACCUGAUGAAUAAGCACCGGCUAACUCCGUGCCAGCAGCCGCGGUAAUA